rnacentral:misc_RNA from 1 species
GGUUGGAUCAUUAACAAUUUUAGCAGGAGCUUGUCUUUGGAUGAGCACCUGUGGAAAAUCAAUCACCUUUUGUGCACUGUAUGUCUCUGGCGGCUGGGGCAAUGCAGCCUGACUUGCAAAAGUCAGAUGCAUUGCUCUGUCAGCUUGGUUCUCUUCUGGACCAGGCCGUGGACAACCCGCCAACCACUUGUUUAACUCACUGUUUUAAUCUCCUGUCUAACAAAUUACUUUGUAUUAAAAUACAAUAAAACUUUUGGCAACGGAUCUCUUGGCUCUCGCAACGAUGAAGAACGCAGCGAAAUGCGAUAAGUAGUGUGAAUUGCAGAAUUCAGUGAAUCAUCGAAUCUUUGAAUGCACAUUGCGCUUCCUGGAAUCCCGGGAAGCAUGCCCAUUUCAGAAUCAUUUAAACCCUCUCCUGCUUUGGUAUGCUGCAUUUGUGCGGCCUGCCCGAGCAGGCAGGAGUCUGGACCAUUUGUAAACUCCUGCAAUGGUCUGUAAUUGAUUGUAUGUACUGCAAUCGCUAUUUUGAUUGUCAAUGAAACAGCAACAGAUUUAUCUAAUACUGUUUAAUUGCAAUCAAGAUUGAUUUCAGGAUGUCAUCCAAUAACCACACAGAACGUACGACUCUGUCGUGCUCUCUGUCAACUUGGUCUGAAAUUGGCAAGAAAACCCGCUGAACUUAAGCAUAUCAAUAAGCGGAGGAAAAGAAACUAACAAGGAUUCCCCUAGUAACGGCGAGUGAAGCGGGAAUUGCUCAAAUUUGAAAUCUCGCAUCGUAAGAUGUGCAGAAUUGUAGUUUAGAGAAGCGUUUUCGGGGGAGACUUGGAUAUAAGUCCUCUGGAAUGGGGCGUCAUAGAGGGUGAGAAUCCCGUUUAUGGUCCAAUGUUCUCUUCUGUGUGAUACGCUUUCUAAGAGUCAGGUAGUUUGGGAUUGCUGCCUAAAAUGGGUGGUAAAUACCAUCUAAAGCUAAAUAUUGGCGAGAGACCGAUAGCGAACAAGUACCGUGAGGGAAAGAUGAAAAGAACUUUGAAAAGAGAGUUAAACAGUACGUGAAAUUGCCAAAAGGGAAACGCUUGGAACCAGUAUUGUCUGCAGGUAAUCAGCUGUGCGGCCCGAAAGGGUUUAGCGCGGUGCACUUGCCUGCUGACAGGUCAACAUCAGUUUGGUCUGAAGUAAAAAGCUGAAGGAAGGUAGCUUGGGCUUCGGCCUGAGUGUUAUAGCCUUCAGUCAUGCGUUGGACUGGACUGAGGUCUGCAGUGUUUUUUGGGUACCCGAUCGCCUCUUGAACUUUGUUUUUAGACAGCUUGCUGACUAGGAUCAAAGCUAGGGAGCCCGGUUGGUUUAUCACACCAGCACUUAGGAUGUUGACGAAAUGGUUCCAAACGACCCGUCUUGAAACACGGACCAAGGAGUCUAACAUAUAUGCGAGUAUUUGGGUGGCAAACCCUUAUGCGAAAUGAAAGUAAACUUUGGUGGGAUCUUCGGUGCACCAUCGACCGGUCUGGAUUUUUUUGAUAGAUCUGAGUAAGAGCAUAUCUGUUGGGACCCGAAAGAUGGUGAACUAUGCCUGAAUAGGGUGAAGCCAGAGGAAACUCUGGUGGAGGCUCGUAGCGAUUCUGACGUGCAAAUCGAUCGUCAAAUUUGGGUAUAGGGGCGAAAGACUAAUCGAACCAUCUAGUAGCUGGUUCCCUC